rnacentral:rRNA from 1 species
GCGCACCAGUCGCGAAAACUCUGCAAUACGCGAAAGCGUGACAGGGCUACCCCGAGUGUCGUCCGCUGAGGACGACUUUUCCACGCUGUAAGGAGGCGUGGGAAUAAGGAGAGGGCAAGUCUGGUGUCAGCCGCCGCGGUAAUACCAGCUCUCCGAGUGGUAGGGACGUUUAUUGGGCUUAAAGCGUCCGUCGCCGGCUCAACAAGUCUCCCGUUAAAUCCAACGAUUCAAUCGUUGGACUGCGGGAGAUACUGCUGGGCUAGGAGGAGAGAGAGGCCGACGGGAUUCCCGGAGUAGGGGUGAAAUCUUAUAAUUCCGGGAGGACCACCAGUGGCGAAGGCUGUCGGCUAGAACGCGCUCGACGGUGAGGGACGAAAGCUGGGGGAGCGAACCGGAAUAGAUAGCCGUGUAGAUC